CAUUGCUUCGGCAGUACACAUACUAAAAUUGGAACGAUAUAGAGAAGAUUAGUAUGGUCCCUGCACAAGGAUGACACAUUGCUGAAAUGUUGAUCUAAGAAUCACU